UACGUAGGGGCCUAGCGUUGUCCGGAUUUAUUGGGCGUAAAGAGCUCGUAGGCGGCUUGGUAAGUCAGGUGUGAAAUCUCCACGCUCAACGUGGAGGGGCCACCCGAAACUGCCAUGGCUUGAGUCCGGUAGGGGAGUGUGGAAUUCCCGGUGUAGCGGUGAAAUGCGCAGAUAUCGGGAGGAACACCCGUAGCGAAGGCGGCACUCUGGGCCGGUACUGACGCUGAGGAGCGAAAGCGUGGGGAGCAAACAGGG
rnacentral:rRNA from 1 species